rnacentral:rRNA from 1 species
UACGUAGGGGGCAAGCGUUGUCCGGAAUUAUUGGGCGUAAAGAGCUCGUAGGCGGUCUGUCGCGUCUGCUGUGAAAACUCGGGGCUUAACCCCGGGCCUGCAGUGGGUACGGGCAGACUAGAGUGCGGUAGGGGAGACUGGAAUUCCUGGUGUAGCGGUGAAAUGCGCAGAUAUCAGGAGGAACACCGGUGGCGAAGGCAGCUCGCUGGGACGGUACUGACGCUGAGGCGCGAAAGCGUGGGGAGCGAACAGG